AGUGAACGCUGGCGGUAGGCCUAACACAUGCAAGUCGAACGGCAGCACAGUAAGAGCUUGCUCUUACGGGUGGCGAGUGGCGGACGGGUGAGGAAUACAUCGGAAUCUACUUUUUCGUGGGGGAUAACGUGGGGAAACUUACGCUAAUACCGCAUACGACCUACGGGUGAAAGCAGGGGAUCUUCGGACCUUGCGCGAUUGAAUGAGCCGAUGUCGGAUUAGCUAGUUGGCGGGGUAAAGGCCCACCAAGGCGACGAUCCGUAGCUGGUCUGAGAGGAUGAUCAGCCACACUGGAACUGAGACACGGUCCAGACUCCUACGGGAGGCAGCAGUGGGGAAUAUUGGACAAUGGGCGCAAGCCUGAUCCAGCCAUACCGCGUGGGUGAAGAAGGCCUUCGGGCUGUAAAGCCCUUUUGUUGGGAAAGAAAAGCAGCAGGUUAAUACCCCGCUGUUCUGACGGUACCCAAAGAAUAAGCACCGGCUAACUUCGUG
rnacentral:rRNA from 1 species